rnacentral:misc_RNA from 1 species
GUAUUUAAAGUUUAUAGGUCAACAGACCCACAAAAAGACAUUCUAGACUUGUUUAAAGAGUGUAUAAAGACAUAGGCAUAUGAAAGGGGCAAGAGAAGCCAUAACAGCAAUCUCUUGAAACCGGUAAUGAGACAGAGCUCACACACGAUGGGUCAAUCAUAGCCUACAAAAGGUGCACAGGGGGAAAAGUAGAAGAAUAGAGCGAGCACAGUACUCCUUUGACAGAGCCAGCUACAACCCUAACUUGCUUCAUUAAUGAUCCUUCCGCAGGUUCACCUACGGAAA